GACGAACGCUGGCGGCGUGCUUAACACAUGCAAGUCGAGCGGAGCGGCGAACGGGUGAGUAACGCGUGAGUAACUGCCCCCCUCUCUGGGAUAACGGUUGGCAACGGCUGCUAAUGCCGGAUAGUGGGGGAUGACUCGCGUCCUAUCAGCUUGUUGGUGGGGUAGGGGCCAACGAAGGCGACGACGGGUAGCCGGCCUGAGAGGGCGACCGGCCACAUUGGGCUGAGAUACGGCCCAAAGUGCUACGGGAGGCAGCAGUGGGGAAUAUUGCACAGUGGGGGAAACCCUGAUGCAGCAACGCGCGUGCGGGAUGACGUCCGUCGGGUGGGAAACCGCUUUCGGCCAUGACGCGGUAGUGGCAGAAGAAGCACCGGCUAACUCCGUGCCAGCAGCCGCGGUAAUUC
rnacentral:rRNA from 1 species